CUUGCCCCUACAGGCAUUGCAGACAUGGCUGCUGGGCUGUGUUUGUGUCAAUAGGUGGCAGAGAGAAACGGGCUACGUCUACGUUCCAUGUUCUGUGGCCGUGAGCACUUGGAAUGAUUAGUAGCUUGACAUC